AUCAGGUAUAAUAAAUUAUCCUUCAGACCGCGGGACUUACGCUCCCCCAGCUCAUCGAUCCACCGCGCUAUGUAGAGCGGCUCCCCCCAAUCAACGAAUUGAUUGGCGAGAGUCGCUCCGGUUCACGCGGCUUCACAAAUCCUCAAGGUCACGCGUUCGGGAUGGGAAAACGUGGCCAUAAUUUCAGACCACGCUGCUACGGGGGGGGGGUGCAUGCUUUUCCUUUGACAGGUGACCACGUGACGCCUCCGAAAGAAGAUGGCGACGACACGCUAACGGGCACCUGUCGCCGGGGGUGACAGCGCUAGGUGAAGAAAGAAAGAUGGCGCUGACUCACCGCUUCAUCUCCGCACAGUCUCCUAUCCUGUUACCAGUCAUACGCGCGCGCCUCUGGCAGCAUGUGGCGUAUUUUUCACUACUGCAGCGUCCUCAUCAGCUGUUGUGCAGUAGAGUAGUUCCUCCACUAUCAGGUGUGUACCGAGUUCUACUCUCAAAAUAUGCCAUCUUGUACUUAUGGCAUACGAUGUGAAGUGAAUAUGAUCAAUAUAGUGGUGCUUGAAAUGGUGGUUUCCAUUUGACAAAAACAAUUACAAUACUCUCACCUGAUUCUCUCGGUCUGUAAAUAUCUACAACCAAUCAUUUAUUGCCUGAUUCAACCAUUGGAUACUUGCUUCCAAUAAAUUAAAUUCCUCUCAAAAUGUGCUCCGAUAGAUUAAUCUCAUUCGCUCAAAUAUUUGUGAUAAAUAUGAUGGUUUCACUGGAACAGUGAAAAAUUAAUCAAAGAUGGUCAGAUUCGACCUUGAAGGACUUUGGAACCAUUAAGGAUACAGUUAUCAACAUUCGAGAUGAUUUUGUGGAGUAUUGGCCGUAUCGCGAUGACACAAAGAACUGAACACGCCACGAUUGCGAAAUCAAAAGUAACAAAUGUAAUUGACAAUAAAAAUGCAAUUCUUCACUAUUUGUCAACAAAUAUGUGCUCAAAUACCGCAGUAAUGCACGAUUACUUUAAAUUAUUCCAAUAAAUCUGAAUAUUCCAUGAACAAAA